AUCGAUGGCGCGCUCGCGUGCGCGUUGCAUCAUGGGAAACCUGGAUGGGCCGUCGGCCAGGCCUGAAGCCGAGUCUACUGCACGUUCCUCUUGAAAAAAAAAAAAAAAGAGGAGAGACGCCGCACGGAAGUUCAGAAAGAGCCGCGCGUAAGCACGCUUCGUUUCUCCUGCGUGCUUAUAGUUGUAUAAGACGCCACCUUCCUUUCCCGAAAGAGGCGACGAGAUCGCCGCCGUCCAUCGCUUCCCAACUGGCUCCUCGACGCACACUCUUGCCGUCUUCGAUGAGCUUCAAGAGCGGCUUCUACUACUUCGUGCUGUUCGUGAUAUGGUGCGCCAUAGGCCUGUGUUUGCUCGUAUUUGUGCGCUGGGUGCUGAGCUACUCAUCGACCAAGUGAACGACGUGGUUCGUCGGCGAGCGGGCAACUCCGCGUCCAUGCUGAAGUCGGCGACGACGGAUCCCAAGCGGAAAAAGAGGCGCCGGAAGAGGACGACGAAGAAGAUGGUCGACUGAAUGGAAGCGAGGGCGUGCCUUCCUCCAAGGGCUGCGCUUGGUAGUCCGCUCGCGAGGACGACUGCCGAGACGUCGUCGAUGAAUAAUACACACACGCUCAAUAACCUCCAGCAGAAGCAGAGAGCCCGUUAGAGUCGUCUUGUGAACCGUUUGUAGUAGCUCACGGCGCAUGGUGUUACUCGUCGGAUCACGACGGUGAAGCUUCGUGCCCCGCGACCGGCGGUGUAGAAGUGUGUUUCGUAGUCUCGACGCUGGGAAGGAAGCCUUCGUCGUAAUAAUUUUCAAUGGUGAUAGACUCGUAGCAAAUAUAACAAGACUGCAGACUCUUCGCCGUCGUCUGAUUUGUGGCCACAGGACGAGCAGUGCUCCCGGCGACACGUGCCAAAAGCCCCGCCACUGCAACACACUGGAAGGCGCAAACACAAAGCUUUCUCGACAGCUGUGUCUGGCCACGUGUAACAAGACUACAGGUCAUACAUGCGGAGAAAGUCAAAGGACCGUGUUUGCCUGAAGCAAAGUUCAGCCCAGCCGAAAGACUCCCCAGCCAGCGAUCUAGAUGGACGCCGAAGCCUGUGCAGCUCCACGUGAAGGACUCAAAAGCCACGACGGUGGCUGUUAACGCUGUAUCUUACAGAAGAUAGCGGCUGCGUUAAAAACACCUGUGCUAUCCUACUGCAGUGUAGCAUGUUGAUCUGCAGUACAUGUGUAAAGGAGUAGCAAGGAGAACACUAUAGUUUCAGUAGUUCUGUCUUCGGAAUCAGCGAAUUACCGUAGCGCGAGAAGAAGUUUUUAAUCUGCCAAAUUUAUCUUAAAGCGUUUCGCAAAACUUUUUUUACAUCUACACGCUCCCAACAGAAGUCGGCAUUUCCUUUCUGUGCUCUCAAUAUUGUACGCAAGACCUAGUCUGACAUGUGCCAACCCCUUGAAAAAUGCAGUCGAGGCAAAGAAGUGUUAACGAAGUGAUUUUGCGUGUGUAAAUCAGGGUACGCAGGACCAAAUGCGACGUCCGAUGCAAUGUGCAAUGAGUUUGUAAUAUGGCUGUUUUUAUACUGAUGGAUCCAAACUGGUUGAAAUUUACGAACCACGAUGGAAUUCAAAAAAAAAAAAAAAACUGUCGGAUGCGGCCAUUGGUGCCGGUGUAGUACGUCGAAUCGGACACCAACUCGUUUAAGGUUCAUCUAGAUUUAACGUAAACCGGAAGCAAAACCAAUCAGCAGUGUUUAGAGGAAUGGGGGAAUUCGGGAAACGUUGGCAGAUAUAACAACCCCUGGUUGUGUCCUAUAAGACUACGACUGAAUAAGGAGAGAGGUAGAACAGCAGCGGCAGGAACGCACUUUUGAGGCACCUGUUUUGCUCACGAACCAUUCCCAAGCCGUAUGUAGCUAUUAAAUUGAGAAGCUGAGUGUGGUCACAUGCGGUCAUUCACAUUGAAUGCCUUGCAGUAGAAUGUGCUUAAAGGGACACCAAAGUGAAACACUAAAUCAGUUUUGUCAUCGUAGGUGCAUUAUUAGAAUAGAAAAUAAGGUCAAAGUUUCAUUAAUUUCGUGGCGAGACUUAAGUGUGUCGUGACGGAUUUCAAAUGGAUUCUUUCUUCCGUAUUUUGGCCACACUGGCCCAAUAAGAUUUCCUUAAAGGGGUCAUGAAGCACUCCUUGGGCUUGUUGAAAAAACACAUCCUGUGGAAAGCUGACACGACUAUGAACUGCUCUGCAAAAUAUUACAGUCGUGCGCGCCGCGUAAAGGCCACAAGCGGAGCGCGAAGUUGCCGUUUCCCCAGGCACCCUCUUUUCAAACAGAGGCCGGUUCUCACUCUCGUCGGUGGGCGGGGCGUCUGCCCGUUGACGUCGCGGAUCUGCCAGUUUACGUCGCAAGAGACAUAGCAUGCUUACUGGCCGAUAGCCGACGUAAAUCGAGAACGGCGUUCGGAUCAGAUGCGCUUCUUGUCACGGGGUGCCGCCACUUGCCGGCGCCGCACUCCUCAGUACAUGGUAGCCGCAUUCGCGCGCGCGAAUCACAGCGGGAGAGCGAUCGCGUUUCAUGACGCGCGCUGACGUAACUUCUUUCCCCUGUGCCAUCCCUCCCUAUGUAGCUUCCAGUGCGCUCGUCGGCACGAGAAAAGAGAGAAAGCGCUGUGAGUGUGCGCCAAACCCCCGUAACUCCGCUCAUUCUUGACGGAUUCGAAAAAUUUUUGCGGCAAUCGAUUCGGGAGGGCAGUAAACACCGAUACUGAGGCCAUUCGAUCAUUACUUGGAAAAGUGGUUCAUGACCCCUUUAAUCUUACUAUGCUAAGCUUUUGUUUCUCUUACAACACAAUCUAAUUAGUUUUUACCGAUAAAGAAUUACCUAGGCUGUAGCAGACGUCGUCAGAAUCUAUGACGUCAUGGCGGCGAGCUGGUUCGGAAACCUGAAUGCGGCCUCGCCACCUGCAUUUUCUCUCUCUCUCUCUCUCUCUCUCUCUCUCUCUCUCUCUCUCUCUCUCUCUCUCUCUCUCUCUUUGUGCGUUUUCUCACUUACCAAGCCUAUCCUUGCGGAAAGAGUGGUGUUUUGCAGGUAUAAAAUGGAACCAGCUUUUUGCCGGCAUAAAACAGAGAUCAUUGGGGGAGGCCUUCGUUCUGCAGUGGACACAAGCCAGGCUGCUGAUGAUGUUUCUAGUGUCCCUUUAAGUCGCACUGACUGGCAUGAAAUCGCAUUUGGUAAAUGCGCUACCCGAAAUGUUACAUGGUGUUAGCUCUUUUCCGAGCGGCAACACAAGCUGAGAUAUCUGAAUAUGUUGAAAUGUCUACUACAUCGCGACUACAACGCAUCCUAAUCAAAACUAUACCGUUUCAUUAACGCAUAAGACAGGUGCGUAUUGUUCUGCGUAUUAACAUGGUAGCGUGCAUUUGCUGUAUUCGCCUUUUAGCGUAUAAUUUAUCAGCCAGGAUGGAGAAUAACAGAGCGGAAACGAGCGAGUCAGAGGAACACAAAGUACUCGUUCAAUUUAGCCACGUACAGCGUUAACAUAAAACUGUAUUCACGGCAAUUUAGCCGAAAUACCGUCGGUUUUUAGCGAAGAAAGCAAAGGCGUGAAGCUGCCUUUGAAAUCUCGCGCCCUAUAAAUGACGACAAUAAUUACCUUUUCGAUGCCAUCUAUUCGGCGACAUGGCCGAAUACUGGAUUCUUUUUGUGCGUCUAAAACAGAUCAAGAGUGCGCUUAAUAUUCAAUGCAAUCUGUCGGAUGCAAUUCUUCGUGGGUUAAAGCAUUAACCAGCAGGCGCUGCCAAAAUUAUGACGUCACAGCGAGCUCGUACGGAAACUUCAAGACGGCGUCGGCCACAAAUAAUUGAUUUAUCUACAAUUUCCGGAGUAUUAGAGUAUCCAGCUUAACUGCCUGUUUUAUUUGUCCAAUUAGGCUAACAGCGCGUUCUAUGUCGUAAAAGUCUCUUCCUCAAAUGUUGCUCAAGCAUAUGUGGACGCAGCAGCUGACGCAUGUGGACUACAUCUGUAACGGGCUUGUUUUGACCCAAGGACGCCAAAUAUUAACUACGAACAACUGCCACAUGAUGUUUUUUGAGCAAUAUCAAACUCAACGGUUCUUGCCAACAUAGCCAUGCCUCCUUUGCAACAAUCACAUUAAGUUUCGUAUACCAACUUCAUAAUGCACACGUUAUUGCUCAGGAAAAAAAAUCAGUAUUUUACCAUUGUACCAUUUAGUUUCAUGUUUACGCGCUGAUCAAAGAAGAUGAUUUUAAGCUCGCCGGUAUUCAUCGCUCAACAUUUCAAACACACGCCAGCUCUUUGUCAUUCAUGUGAAUUUACCGUAUUUUUUCAUUUUUUUUAUGUUGAUUCGUUGCGUAUGAAAUCUUGCUACAAUAAUUCAAGAUAGCGUUAGCAUUCUGGUGUUACCGCUACCACUUAACCCCAACCACGUAUGCGUGUAACAGGUGGCAGAAGAUAUCUACAUCGAUAGAACGGUUAAAAUGUGCUAAGAUAAUCUUACGGCACAUGUACGUGUAUGCGUAUACUUGCCGUAAACGUACAACAGCAUGACGUGCGAGAAAGCUAACCUGAAAACAAAAUAUCAAAGUUAAGUCGACGUGCUAUGCUACGUGUACAUGUACUUGUUUACAAAUGGCGUAACAUGGCCGGCAACUACAAUUACAGCAGAAGAGGAACACUUUGCUCAUAACUUGAGGACGAGUUAUUACACAGAAAGUUGCCAGAGAGGUGAUGUGGCUCUCCGAAUCCAAGAACACCGAGUAGCUCAGUACAAACGCGAAUGCCGAUGAAUAUUCGCAGGCUUAAUUAAUUGAGAGUAUUACAUUUUCUGAACGAGAAAAAAUGUUUCUACUUAAAAAAAAAAAGUUACGAAGCGGUACAAAGGUAUGCAGCGAAGCUGUAGUCAUCGCUGCACUAUCUUCUCUUUUCUAAGCAUUCAGUAUAGCGAAAGUGUCAGCAUCAUAAGUCCGGGAACUUUCCCCUGGACAGUUGCUGAACAUUCAUGCACUUCAAUGCUGACGGCGGGGAUGACGUAAGUUCUGGUACAAGCCAGCGUUUGAGUACGCGAAGGAAGAAUGGCAAAUGCAAGUUGUGGUUAUAAACCGCCAACGCUACAGCGCUGGAAUGGAUCAAGCGCGGCGGCAAGUGCUGAGGAACUCAUUCGGAAAUGUUUUCUUGUUCAGCUAAGCCAUGCGAUGCACUUGUGCAAGAAUUUGUCCUUUGACACUUCAGGGUUGUCCAUAAAGGCGCUCUUGCUGUCCCAUGUGCAGGUGCAGAGCAUUUGCAAGGCAUGGGACAGCAUCAGUACCUGUAUGAAACUCAAGUUAAUAAUGCUACUACUCAUAGUACCACUAUGACUAAAUUGUUCCAACUAGCCCAAGCCGACACUCUCCCGAUUCAUAUUGGCACUGUUCGAAAAGAACAUGAGUUCGGAUACGAUUUUUCCGGUAAGAAGUAGUUCCGUCAGUGGUGUCGUGAGCACGAGCGUCUGGUGGCCGGUGCAUACAUACGACAUCUUUCACAAGUUCGUAGUUAAUUUUUUCUCCCGCGUUCGAGAAGCUUUGAAGCAUAAACGUGUGCUGUAAUUCACAUGCCUCUAGGAGGCCACAUAUUUCCACCUUUUGUAGCGUUGGUCGAAUACCUGAAUCAAGCACAGCAUUUCACGACACGAAUGCCCGAAGGUGUCUGGCGUGACUGUUUAUGUCCUCCGAGAUGGGGCAGAGCGAGGCCUCGGAGGCCAUGAUAUACCACACGAUGUCACAGAAAGCACCGUAAUGGCCGUCAUAGCAAGGGUGAAUUUAGCCAGCGCAAAAAAAAGAAAAAACAACGUUCGCCAAAUACCGCAUUAAAAUUCGCCUAAGUCUACCGUAUUGCGCCACAUCGUCGUUUGGCAGCGUGGAGCCAUAUCUCCGUCGCAUCGGCAAUACAUGUUCAUGUAUUGUCAAUGCGGCGACGCUCUGUACAUUCGUGGUAUUUUUGUUAGUAUGGGAGUAUGCACGCUCGGAAGGUCGCAUGCGGCUCCGUACAUCAUCCGUUUGUCACUGCAGGGUGUGUUUCACAUUUCACGCUCUUGGAUCAAGUACUAAACAAUGUUCACGGUACUC